GAUGAACGCUGGCGGCGUGCCUAAUACAUGCAAGUCGAGCGAACAGACGAGGAGCUUGCUCCUCUGACGUUAGCGGCGGACGGGUGAGUAACACGUGGAUAACCUACCUAUAAGACUGGGAUAACUUCGGGAAACCGGAGCUAAUACCGGAUAAUAUAUUGAACCGCAUGGUUCAAUAGUGAAAGCCGGUUUUGCUUUCCCUUAUAGAUGGAUCCGCGCCGCAUUAGCUAGUUGGUAAGGUAACGGCUUACCAAGGCGACGAUGCGUAGCCGACCUGAGAGGGUGAUCGGCCACACUGGAACUGAGACACGGUCCAGACUCCUACGGGAGGCAGCAGUAGGGAAUCUUCCGCAAUGGGCGAAAGCCUGACGGAGCAACGCCGCGUGAGUGAUGAAGGUCUUCGGAUCGUAAAACUCUGUUAUUAGGGAAGAACAAAUGUGUAAGUAACUAUGCACGUCUUGACGGUACCUAAUCAGAAAGCCACGGCUAACUACGUG
rnacentral:rRNA from 1 species